rnacentral:rRNA from 1 species
GCGAAUUCGCCCUUCCCUAUGGGGUGCAGCAGGCGCGAAACCUUUACAAUGCGCGAAAGCGUGAUAAGGGGAUUCCUAGUGCUCAUGCAUUGCAUGGGCUUUUGCCAUAGGUAAAAUCUAUGGCGAAUAAGUGGUGGGAAAGACCGGUGCCAGCCGCCGCGGUAACACCGGCGCCACAAGUGGGGAUCGCGAUUAUUGGGCCUAAAGCGUCCGUAGCCGGUCUUGUAAAUCCUUUGUGAAAUCGUUGGGCUUAACUCAACGGACUGCAGAGGACACUGCAAGACUAGAGACCGGGAGGGGCUAGAGGUAUUUUGUGGGGAGCGGUAAAAUGCUAUAAUCCACAGAGGACCACCGAUGGCGAAGGCAUCUAGCCAGAACGGAUCUGACGGUGAGGGACGAAAGCCAGGGGAGCAAACCGGAUUAGAUACCCGAGUAGUCCUGGCCGUAAACGCUGUGAGCUAGGUGUUGCGUAAUCCACGGGGUUGCGCAGUGUCGAAACGAAGGUGAUAAGCUCACCGCCUGGGAAGUACGGUCGCAAGGCUGAAACUUAAAGGAAUUGGCGGGGGAGCACCACAAGGGGUGCGGCGUGCGGUUCAAUCUAAUUUAACGCAGAAAAACUCACCAGGGCCGACGGCAGGAUGAAGGUCAGUCUGAAGGGCUUACCUGACGAGCCGAGAGGAGGUGCAUGGCC